UACGGAGGAUGCGAGCGUUAUCCGGAUUUAUUGGGUUUAAAGGGUGCGUAGGCGGACGCUUAAGUCAGCGGUAAAAUUGCGGGGCUCAACCUCGUCGAGCCGUUGAAACUGGGUGCCUUGAGUGGGCGAGAAGUACGCGGAAUGCGUGGUGUAGCGGUGAAAUGCAUAGAUAUCACGCAGAACUCCGAUUGCGAAGGCAGCGUACCGGCGCCCAACUGACGCUGAAGCACGAAGGCGUGGGUAUCGGACAGG
rnacentral:rRNA from 1 species